UCAUCCAUCAGCUACAAUCCAAAUGCUAGUCACCCUCCACCUCCAACUUUGCAACUGUUGCCUUCUCCAUCCCGAACUACCUAUUUGUCACACCUCACCCCUACACAUACUUUUUUUCCCCUUCAGCCUGCAGAGUAUCAAUCCCUUCCAGCUCACAUCUUCCCCAGCACUUCACCGAUCUCUUCUCAAUUUCAAACCAGCAUCUCAUUAGCACCUCCCUCCUUUUGUCUUCUUCCACCCUACCUUCCAAAAUAAGUAGGUUCAUUUCCAAACAAUCUAACAAAAACUUACUGAUAUUUUCCCCAGAAAUUUAGUCUUCCCAAAAAUGCAAUCAUCCUACAGGCAAGCUAACCACACAAGGUAUUAGAUAAAAUGAAGAUUAUGUUCAUCUUCUGAACAUGACAUGAGCUGAAAGAAUAAUUCAUAUAACUUGAUUGCUGCUGCUAAGGGUUAGGAUUCUGCUAUAUAGUUAUACUGUCUGUUGAUACGGAAAACUAAAACACAACUGUUGUCAUGUAUUUGCCUGUUUAUGGUUUUGUCUUCUCCUGUAAUAUAGCUAGUUUUAGCAUGUAGGCAACAAAAACUGAAAACCGCUAAUGAGUACAUAGUCAUACAAUCAAAGACUUUCCUCAUCGCCUACAGUUGAAAAUAUGAUCGGUACUAUUUGGAACAAAUGAGAUCAAUUUUAGUCAAACGUACAUUAAUCUGAGAUAAGCAUCUGCAGAUCAACAUAAAUACAAGAAAAACUACCUUAUGUCAAACUCUUCUGAUUUUUUUACUGCUUUUUGAGCGGCUUUAACUGUCUGAUUUGUCAUCCCAAGAUUUGAACAACAGCAAAGCAUGAUCAGUAACCAAGUUUUGGGAAACAAUAAAAGGUAUGAAGAAAAUUCAGUUUAGAAAAAUAGCAGUAAUCACCAUGAAAUCUCCGGCAUGUAAAGUUCCCAUUUCCACAGAUUGAAUACAACUAUUGAACAAUUCAAUACAACUAUUGAACUCGAAAUUACGCCAUUUUAGCUAUAUUUAAUCAAACCCCACACUAUAUCUUUCUCCAACAAUCCCAAAAAGCAAAACUAUCAGCUCAACCAAGAAUGCAAGCAACCACAAAAUACGCAAAAACCACAAGAAUUGAACUCGAAGUUACGCCAUUUUAGCUACAUUUAAUCAAACCCCACACUAUAUCUUUCUCCAAUAAUCUCAAAAAACAACACUAUCAGCUCAAUCAAGAAAGCCAACAACCACGAAAUACACAAAAACCAACAAUUGAACUCGAAGUUAUGCCAUUUUAGCUAUAUUUAAUCAAACCCCAUACAAUAUUUGUCCAAUAAUCCCAAAAAACAACACUAUCAGCAAUUUAAUCAAUUAAUCAAUAAUGGUAGCAAACACAAAAAGAACAACACUUGAACUCAAAAUUGAGCCAUUUUAGCAACAUUUAAUCAAACCCCAUGAAUUAUCUUCCAACAAAAUCCCAAAAAUGACACUAUUAGCUCAAACACGAGUGGUAGCAACCAUUGAAAAAAGUAAGAGGUUCUAAAAAUUUGAACAAUAAACUGCAAAUAGCUGAGCAUUGCUACAGAACAUUGAAAAUAUUGUUGCUAUCACAGUGUGCUAUCAGAAAAUAAAAUCAGAAUACACAUGCAAGAUGGAACCACUUACAAGAUGAGAUAAUUUGAACAUGAAAUCAGUAGCAAUUUGUGCUAACCCGUUUGG
rnacentral:lncRNA from 1 species